AAACUAGAUUAGUUUAACAUGUGAAAUGUCCGUAAAGUAUCAUCACAUGAUUGGCUUUAGGGCAUAUUUCCAACAAUCUCCCACUUGCACUAGAGCCAAUCAGCUUGAUCAUCAAUGAUGAUAUCUCUUCUGUAAUGUCAUUUCAUAAAUGGCUGAAUAGUAGGCCUAGACAGUGGAUAUCUAUAUGUAAUCCAUAGAAGCAACCUUGAGAAUAACGACGUCACCAUUAUACACGAUUCUCAAUCAUGUGGUUCAGUCUCUCAUUUGUGUUCGGAUCUUGAUGAGACCUUGAUUCCCAGGCUU
rnacentral:lncRNA from 1 species